rnacentral:hammerhead_ribozyme from 1 species
AUCCAGCUGAUGAGUUUCAAAUAGGAUGAAACGCACGUCCUGGAU